UCUCCUCCUCCACUUCCUCCCAGUCCGGACACCAGAACGCACACAGCGAGGGCACACUGGCUCAGCACUUUUGCGUAUGUGUGCUCAAGGCUGGUGCGUGCGUGUGCACGUGGCCACGUGUGAAAUAUUGAUGAGGACACAGCCUCAGUCUGUCCUGCCGGGCCGUCCUGAGAGUGUGUAAGAGUGUGUCGGGUGUGUUUGUCAGCAGUGAUGGGAGACAGGAGCGUUGUGCAGCCGCAGAAACAGCCUCCUUACGAUGGACUGUGCAACUACGCCCAAAAAAUUACUUCCUGCUUCGGGCUGGAUGUGGCCCACACACAAGAAACUCACCAUCAGACGGAGAAGCCUUUAAUACGGUGUGCUAAAUGUGGAGAUGUGUGUAAAGGAGAGGUGCUACGAGUGCAGGCCAAACAUUUCCACAUCAAGUGCUUCACAUGCAAAGUAUGCGGCUGCGAUCUGGCUCAGGGAGGUUUCUUCACGAAGAACGGAGAAUACAUGUGCACUCUAGACUAUCAGCGCAUCCAUGGCACCCGCUGUAACAUCUGCGGAGAGUUCGUGGAGGGGGAGGUGGUGACCGCGCUCGGAAAGACCUACCACCCAGCGUGCUUUGUGUGCACGAUCUGCAAGAGGCCAUUCCCUGCUGGAGACAGAGUGACUUACAAUGGCAAGGACUGUUUGUGUCAGUAUUGUGCUCAGCCCACGUCUCCGGGCCCCUCCAAAGAAAUCACAGGACCCAGCAAUUGUGCAGGCUGUGGCAGGGAUAUUAAGAACGGUCAGGCUCUGUUGGCUCUGGAGCGUCAGUGGCACUUGGGCUGUUUUAAAUGUAAAGCUUGUGCCAAAGUACUGACUGGAGAGUACAUCAGCAAGGAUGGCGCCCCCUACUGUGAGAGAGACUACCAGACACUGUUUGGAGUACAGUGUGAGGCAUGCCAGCAGUUCAUCACUGGUAAAGUGUUGGAGGCAGGGGACAAGCACUAUCACCCCAGCUGUGCCCGCUGCAGCAGGUGUAACCAGAUGUUCACAGAAGGAGAGGAGAUGUAUCUUCAAGGAUCGACGGUUUGGCAUCCAAGCUGUAAACACUCACCUAGAGCUGAGGAUAGACGGAGGCCGACACGCUCAUCGUCUGAGAGUAUUUGUUCCAGACCUGGCUCAAGCCUACCUAGCUCACCAGGUCACACCAUAUAUGCAAAAGUAGACAAUGAGAUCCUUGAUUACAGAGAUUUAGCAGCCAUUCCCAAAGUCAAAGCCAUUUAUGACAUUGAGCGUCCAGAUCUAAUCAACUAUGAGCCUCUUUAUACCACAUCACUGGAUGAGUCGGAGGAGAGAGAGAGUGUGGGAGAGCUCCAGAGCACCAGGAGAGAGUGUUCCCCCAUGCCAGACGACAGAACCAGGUCGCCUACACCAACCACUGAGGGUUAUUAUGACAUGAGGGAACGCAUUCUUCAGAGAUCCACGAGUCAGGGCUCCAUCGGCUCACCCAUUUACAGCCGCUACAAUUACACACCCACCCUGUUACGCUCACCACAACACUUCCACAGACCUGGCACUGAGCCGUCCAGCGGUCGGAGUUCUCCGGGGGCCAGCACCCCUCCUCUCCCCCUGACCCCUAAACAUUUUCACCUGCCAGAUCAAGGGUUGAACAUCUACAGAAAACUGCCCAUCUACAAACAGCAUGCCCAGAGCAAGUCGGCUGAUGACAUCAUCAAAUCGGCCAAAUUCCCCUCCGCGUACGCCCCCGGUCCAGUCAACCCAGCAAAGACAGAGACCGACAGCUGGUCAUCCACGGUCUCCCAUGCUGUCCUAGUGACAGACGGGAGGAGAAGAUCACGAGAAGAGGAUGAGGUCGAGCAGCAGAAGCGAAGACAACUUCAGGAAGAGCAUCUCAACAAGAUCCAGUCUGGUUUAGGGAAGAUGAUUCUGAAGGAGGAAAUGGAGAAGGAGCAGAUCCGAGAGCGUCACGCGCGGAGCCUGUCAGCACAACGCUGUGAUCCGGACCAUUCCGGUGCUAAUGCAGAUCAAAGGUCACCUUCUAAAAUGGGAUCAUUGCCUGGACGAAAUGGACGAAAUGGACUUCAUCGGCCUCAGUCCACUGACUUCACUCAGUAUUACAGUUAUGGGGAUGUGUGUGGUGGAAUAAGAGAAUUUCAGGUAUGUAUCUAUACACGAUGUACCAUCCUCUUUUGAAAUGCCUUAUGUGUGUUUGAUCUAUUUUGCUAAUUAAAGUCAAAUAUUUUAAAUAAAGCCAAAUACUAUAAUGCAAAAAUCACUCUCACGUACCUUCUCUGUUCCACGAUAGUGGAAUGAUCUGCCUGUUGCUACUUUUUACUUUGUGAGUAAAUUGACCAAAGUGCGACGUUAUUAUAUCUAAUAUGUUCUUUGAGGAACAAUUUACAUCUCUCACAGGACGCUAUAGUGCAAUGUUCUCUCUGUGUUUUUGGUUUCUAGCACAUGCAGGACGGCCAUCGCUCAGCUACCAGAAUGGACAGAGGAGUUUCUAUGCCUAACAUGCUGGAACCAAAAGUAUAUCCAUACGAAAUGCUCGUGGUAACCAGCCGCAGCCGCUCAAAGCUUCCCAGAGAUGUGGACAGAACUCGACUAGAGCGUCAUCUGGCUCCAGAAAAGUUCUUCGAAAGCUUUGGGAUGGAAAUUCAGGAAUUCAACCGCUUACCUCUCUGGAAACGUAAUGAACUGAAGAAGAAAGCCAAACUCUUCUAAGCAGGAAUUAACAUGUCUAUGAGUGCUCACGUUAUGUAUCAUACCGCUUUAUUCUCCUGUUUUUGAUUUUUAAUUGCUCUUUAUGGAGGUCGAAGCUGUAAUGCAAAACUAUAGCCGCAAGAUACCUUAAUGUUGCAGUCUCAUCAUAGGACGUCGUUUUUUUUUAAUUCAAGGGUCUAUAUAUUUACUCCACACACUUCUCAACUCUGUACUUUAAUGCUUUUGUUUCAUUUUCUCUCUCUAAAAACAAAUCUUCCUCGUGUUCUUUGUUCUUGUAAAUUUUGCUCAUGCUGGUAAGAAUGUUAUCUUUGUAAGUUGUAUCUGUUUAAUUCACUGUCCCACUAAAGAAUCUUUACUUUGCUUCAUUUUUCGUUCAGGGAAGGAUUGUAGAAGUCUCACUAUGUGUGUGCCUGUGUCUCUUUGUUCCUGUUUAUGUAAAACACUUCAGAUACUUUUCAAUUUAAUCCAUAUUGACAUGUAUCCAUAUAUUCACCCUUUACUCCUGUACCAGCCUCCAAAUAUAUAAAAAAAUAGUUCACACCGAAAUGAAAAAUCUGUCAUUGUUUAUUCACCCUCAUGUUGUUUUAAAUGGACACGAGGGUGAAUAAAUGACACAAAUUAGAUUUCUGGGUGAACUGUUGCUUUAAUUAAAGGUACGGUGUGCAUUUUCUACACCACUGGUUUCCAUCUGAUGCCACUGGAGGUGCAGACGUUACACACUUCAUCUUUCUGAUUCUAUAUAAACUGUAGAAUCAACGCUGAUGUUCACUCUCUAGUAUACUGUAUAUUAAAAAAAUAGAAUACAAAGGUCAAAAUUUAAAAAAUGAACUGCGUGACUUUUAUAUAGAGUUGAUACUCACACUGCCAAUUGUAUUUCUGAGAAACAGGAAAUGUUUCAACUCGACAAAACCAAAACGUGAAAAGUUUUAGUCUCCAGCCGUUUUUAAAUUCAUCCACAUGAAUCACAUCAGACUGAUGACGCAUUGUGUUUAGUUGUUCAUGCACACUACACUGGACUUACUGGAAUUACGGGCAUUGAUACUUUAGCAGGACCAAAUCAAAACAUAAACUCGAAUGAAAACAUUCCCAUUGAACACAAUCAAGUACAGUGACAGGUCUGAAUAAAAGAAAUACAUCUACUUCAUCUGCAUCUCUCCAUCUUUCUCACACACAUGUAAAGCACAUGCAUUUCCUAGGUCUCCAAUAUCAAUUUUCAACCUGAAGGUCUCUUGUAAUGUUCCUAACAGGGGCCUAAAUGACAUCAUCCUAGGUGACGUAAUUUUGCUGAAAAAAAUGAAAUUACAAACAGUACCCUAAGUAUCAGCCAUACCUAGUUUUUUAUGAAAUGGAGAUACUGUUUUUCUUCACUAGAGGGCAGCGCGUCCUUGUCACGUAAAGGUGUCUAAUCAUUUUUUACAAAGAUCGAGCUCUGCCUGUCUUUUGGGUGUGCCACCAUAAAACCCUACUGCUCUCGGUGUUUGUUUUAAAGGGACAGUUCACCUAAAAAUGAAAACUUGCAUCAAUUACUCACCAUCGUGUCAUCUGACUUUCUUCUGUGGAAAACAGAAGAAGAUAUUUUGAGAAAUGUCUCCGUGGUUUUGUGUCCAUACAAUCAAAUUUAAUACAGGCUAAUGUGGUUUAUAUACUUUUAUAUACCUUCUACAAAAUAUCAUCCUUUGUGUAUCUGCAGACAAAAAAAUGAAAAAAAAAAUACAGGGAUGGAAUGACAUGAGGGUUAGUAAAUAAUAUUAGAUGAACUAUGCCUUUAAAUAAGUGCAUCUCCCUAGGGACCUGUUGACCUUGGUUUAAAAUACAAACAUUUCAAUAAUGCAUAAAUGGUGGUAAAUCACAACUCAUAAAACUGCCAUUAAGGUCAGGAUAGACAUUCCAGUAAAUUAGUAAAAAUGCCAUACAUAAAUCACCAUUAACCAGUCAGAACCUAAAAAACACUAGUCAAAUCAUUAGUGUUGGGAAAUGUAUGAAUGUAAGUUUAUUGGGUGCUUUUAUGGUUAUUUUUUUAAUUGGUCACUGUGUUGUUCGAAAAAGGAUGAAUAAAAAUGUCACGUGUAGAACAUGCCUAACGA